UUGACCUCAAAUCGGGUGAGACUACCCGCUGAACUUAAGCAUAUCAAUAAGCGGAGGAAAAGAAACUAACAAGGAUUCCCCUAGUAACUGCGAGUGAAGCGGGAAAAGCUCAAAUUUAAAAUCUGGUGGUCUCUGGCCAUCCGAGUUGUAAUUUAGAGAAGCGUCUUCCGCGCUGGACCGUGCACAAGUCUCCUGGAAUGGAGCGUCGUAGAGGGUGAGAAUCCCGUCUUUGGCACGGACGCACCAGGGCUUCUGUGAUGCGCUCUCGAAGAGUCGAGUUGUUUGGGAAUGCAGCUCAAAAUGGGUGGUGAACUCCAUCUAAAGCUAAAUAUUGGCGAGAGACCGAUAGCGAACAAGUACCGUGAGGGAAAGAUGAAAAGCACUUUGGAAAGAGAGUGAAACAGUACGUGAAAUUGUUGAAAGGGAAACGCUUGAAGUCAGUCGCGUCGCCCGAGACUCAGCCUUGCCUCGGCUUGGUGUACUUCUCGGCCGACGGGUCAGCAUCAAUUUUGCCCCUUGGAUAAUGGCGAGGGAAAUGUGACACCUUUACGGGUGUGUUAUAGUCUUUCGUCGCAUGCAAGGGUCGGGAUUGAGGAACUCAGCACGCGCCUUUGGGCGUCGGGGUUCGCCCACGAUA
rnacentral:rRNA from 1 species